CAGCCGCCACGGUAAUACGUAGGUGGCAAGCGUUGUCCGGAAUUAUUGGGCGUAAAGCGCGCGCAGGCGGAUCAGUUAGUCUGUCUUAAAAGUUCGGGGCUUAACCCCGUGAGGGGAUGGAAACUGCUGAUCUAGAGUAUCGGAGAGGAAAGUGGAAUUCCUAGUGUAGCGGUGAAAUGCGUAGAUAUUAGGAAGAACACCAGUGGCGAAGGCGACUUUCUGGACGAAAACUGACGCUGAGGCGCGAAAGCUAGGGGAGCGAACGGGAUUAGAUACCCGAGUAGUCCCUGUCUCUUAUACA
rnacentral:rRNA from 1 species